rnacentral:tRNA from 1 species
GCAAAAGUAUCUUAAAGGUAAAGUAUCAUCUUGCCAUGAUGAUGAAUACGAGUUCGAUUCUCGUCUUUUGCU